rnacentral:rRNA from 1 species
CAGCAGCCGCGGUAAUACGAAGGGUGCAAGCGUUACUCGGAAUUACUGGGCGUAAAGCGUGCGUAGGUGGUUGUUUAAGUCUGCUGUGAAAGCCCUGGGCUCAACCUGGGAAUUGCAGUGGAUACUGGGCGACUAGAGUAAGGUAGAGGAUAGUGGAAUUUCCGGUGUAGCAGUGAAAUGCGUAGAGAUCGGAAGGAACAUCUGUGGCGAAGGCGACUAUCUGGGCCAUUACUGACACUGAGGCACGAAAGCGUGGGGAGCAAACAGGAUUAGAUACCCGCGUAGUCCCUGUCUCUUAUAC